GGAGAGAUGUCCGAGAGGCCGAAGGAGCACGCUUGGAAAGCGUGUGUAUCGCAAGGUACCGGGGGUUCGAAUCCCCCUCUCUCCG
rnacentral:tRNA from 1 species